rnacentral:rRNA from 1 species
AGGACGAACGCUGGCGGCGUGCCUAAUACAUGCAAGUCGAACGGUCUUUUCUAUGGAAGCUUGCUUCCACUGAGAAGAUAGUGGCGAACGGGUGAGUAACACGUGGGUAACCUGCCCAUAAGAGGGGGGAUAACAUCCGGAAACGGGUGCUAAUACCGCAUAGUUUUCUUGAUCGCAUGAUCGGGAAAGGAAAGACGGCCUUUGUGCUGUCGCUUAUGGAUGGACCCGCGGCGUAUUAGUUAGUUGGUGAGGUAACGGCUCACCAAGACGAUGAUACGUAGCCGACCUGAGAGGGUGAUCGGCCACAUUGGGACUGAGACACGGCCCAAACUCCUACGGGAGGCAGCAGUAGGGAAUCUUCCGCAAUGGACGAAAGUCUGACGGAGCAACGCCGCGUGAGUGAAAGAAGGUUUUCGGAUCGUAAAACUCUGUUGUCGGAGAAGAACAAGUUGGAGAGUAACUGCUCCAGCCUUGACGGUAUCUGACCAGAAAGCCACGGCUAACUACGUGCCAGCAGCCGC